GGACCAACCUGCUUGAGUCCAUACAGAGCUGCAGAGGAGGUGGGCAAGGGCUGGAUGAGCACUGAAGAGGUGUUUCUGCUCUACAGUGCAAUGCUUUGGUGACCCAGAAGAUGUACUGCAGUGUCUUCUUUGUGAUUGUGAUGCAGUGCUCAGUCAUCUUCUCAUUUGCAACCUCAGAAGUACCUGAAAAGCCUCGUUGUGCUUGCUGAAGUUCUUCCUGAUGAUCUGAGAACAACUGCCAGCACUCAAAUGAAAGCAAAUAAGGAGGCGGUGUGGUGCUGAAAAAGAGACGAGGACAUAACCAGGACAGCCCUACCCCCAGCACUGCCAGAGGAGAUCCUGCAGCAUACAAAUUGCCAUGGGACGGAAGCGAGACGGAUGCACAGAGCAGGAUGGCUCUGAAAGGUGCAGCAGCACACUAGAUUUGCUGGUUAGCCUAAGACACAGAAAACCCAAGAUCAAACACUAACUUCUUCUGAAAGCUUGGACAACUUCGUUUUCUUUUUCUUUUUAAUUGUACAGCCUGGAUAACAGUAGAUUUGCACCACAUGGCAGCCACUCUGGGUCACACCUCAGCACUAACAGACCAAUGGUGCCAUCCCUUGAGAGGUGACAUAAGCAGACUCCUACCAAGGAGUGCACACAUGGAGCUUUCAGCAUUUCCUUGCCACUGUCCCCAGCAAUUUCUGACCUUCAAACACCAUCUGAGGCAACUGUUUGCUUAUAACAUCCCAAAAGGAGGUUUCAGUUUAUGAAUUUAUCUAAAUGGUUUAUUUAACAAAAACAGAUACAUCUAAUUUGCAUUCCUCAAAGGAGUUAUACAAAUUAAUGGAACCUGUGAUUUUUCCUUCGAAACUAGGGAACUCAUUUGCUGAGAAGCAGACUGCUGGCAAGUGUAAGCCUUCAACAGGAAGCCUCAAAUAGGGAUUUUUAUCUUGGCAGCCACAGAAAACUCCUCUUGCACCUUAAAAAGCAUUCGUAAUUUCAGCAAGAUGCAUUCUGCAGGUUCUUUGUCUCCUGGCUUAUCUCAAAGUGUUUACAUUUUGGCUUAGGUGACAAGGAUUGAUUAGCAAUCCAGCUUCUAUCUCUGCUUUGCUAUUCAUCAUCCAAAGCCAAGGGCAUCAGUCAAGAUGAACGAAUGUAUCGACAUCCUCUGCAACAAAGCAAGCAUUUAAUGAAUAUUCACAAAGUGACCAGCAAGUAAGUUUCCAGAAAAGAAGAAAAAAAUGGCACCAUGACAGUAAUGGUUUUAUCUGAGCACUGAAGAUCGUGAAUGCUGAACUGCAUUGCAAAAGGAGCAGUGGUUGUAGCAUAGCAACUCAGGAGAGAAAUGAAAAUCCAUCAUGGUUUCCCCUCCCAUGCAAUCAGGAGUGGAAAUAGCCUUCUUGGCAAUUAGACCAAACCACAAACGGAUUUGGAGGUAACGUUUCUCAUUGCACUGCUUUGUCAGCAAGCGGAUCUCCUUCAGCUCCUCCCAGUGUUUUAACAAGUGUGGGGAGAAGCCCUGCACAAUAAAGCCAUAAUGAUAAGGGCAGGAAGAAAGGAGAAAAGGAACGCCACAUCUCAGCUUUUAGGGAGCACAUUACUUUAUACCUUUCACAUCCAAUUUUGGCUCUGCUAAGCUCUGGCUGCCCUGCCUUCACACGGCACUUCAGAGCAGUGCCAUUAACGUCCCUCUGGGUGGCAUAUCCCUCUGCCACUUCUGUGCUGAAGCCUUUGAAACACUGGAACAAAGCUCACCGUGUCCUAAAAUAGCCUUUUAGAUGCCCAAAAAGCAAGUGAGGAAAGGGCUGAGGGGAAGUUCCUCUCCUCCAUCCCCUUCUACUUAAUUUGCUGGUUUAAAGACAUUCAGCAACACUUUUCUCUCAUCCACAGCAAGGUGAUCUAGCCUCAGAGAGCAAAGCCCAGCAACAGAACCAGUGAGAUCACAGCUAAUUAAGACAUCUUCUGUGUUCAAUAAGGAAAUAUUCAGCAGUUCUUGAAUUAAGAUUUAAGAUUUCUCUACCACCUUCUUUUCUGCAUAAGGGGAGGAAGCUCACGACGUUCUCAGAAGCUUACAUCACUGUGACCGCUGCUAAACGUUAAUUGCAACAUAAGAGUGGAGAGCUCUGAUGAAAGCAAGGUUAUUUAAUAUUCAUGGUUGGUCCCCUAUGCUUUGCAGUCAAGCUAUUGAGAAAAAUAAGCUAUUAUAGGAUACAUAAAAAGUAUUUUCUGAUUGCCAUUAUCAGCAGUUUUUCAGCUACAUUACUUUGAUAUUUGGUCUGUCAGAAGCAUGACCUGAGAGCAUCUAAAACACCCCAACUCACAUCACCUUACACACUGAGAAAUUACGAAUACACUGGGAUUUAAACAAACACAAUUCACAAGUCUUAUUAAUUGCAACAUUAUCAUCUCUUCUGUAACUCUUCAGUCUUUCUCUGAGCUUAGAGUAACGUCAUCUUUGGUUUAAAACCAGCAGAUUUCAGUAGUCUUGGCAACAUCCAAUGGUAUUUCAUCUCAGACUGUGGUGGAGUUGAACGCAACCAGCAGAGCGUGCCCUACCACGCUGUCACCUUUCUAGUAAUGCUACGAAGGUCUGUACAACGCAGACAUUCAUUAUAAAAAUACUGUUACAUUUCCAAUUCUCAUCACUGCAAAGAGAACUAUUUGAAAUGUGAACCCAUGCAAAUAACUUCUCUGUUCAGAGAAAACCCAUUUCGAUUAGACGAGUGAGAGCCCCUUCAAUCCGUACAGAUUUUCUAGUCCAAUGAUAAUAAUUAAAAUUUUGAUCUCAGAAGAGAUUUCUUGACUCAUCUGAUGCUAAUGUUUCACGCUGGGAGAACACAUGAUUAAUACAGCAAGACUCUUGGAGCCUCAAGUUCUGCAUGCCAUGAAGGCAGUGAAUCUGGCUUCAGACAGUGAGAUCUCCCACACCACCAGCAACCAGCUGACCAGAAACAUCCUCUUAAAGCAUGGGGAGCUCCUGGACGAGCUCCCUACCACUGCCCUACCUCUACUGCAAGUGCUGAAGUAGAACCACGGUAGGCUUCCCACACUAAAAACCAGAAAAAAUGUAUUUUAUACCAAAACCAGAUAGCUACAAUAUACUGAACAAAAUAUCGAAGCUAUUCCAUAUUUUAUGCCCUGUAUGUUUUCUGUUUUUAAUUUAUAAACAAAGAAUUGAAAUAGAAGCCAAGAUAAUGUGGAGCUGAUCGUGCGUGAAGAACAAGCAUUCUUCUGGCUUAAUUACCGAACAGUUUUGUACACAGGCAUGGAUGGACUGCUCUCAUUUUGUUCACUGCAAACCACAGCCAGCACUGCAUGCAGUAUCAUAUUUAUGUUCCCUUUAAAACAAACUCCUACACUUUGCAGCUUUCACACGUAAAGAACAAUCAGAUAACAGCUUUGUCGAAUUACAACCAGUUCCCACAAAGGAGCAGAAUUUCUCUUGGCAACUAAACCAUGUGUUGGUAAUUGUACUUAAAAAUAACCACUGCCUUGACCUAAUUCUCCAGUCAUUUGUGUUGUGCGUGGCAUUAAUGAUUCUAAGAAAGCACUUUGUAUUUAACAGUGGGAUCUCCUGCUUCCAGCUCUGCAAAACCCAGCUCAGUCCCUGCCGUGUUGCCAGACAAGAACCAUCAUCGAUGCUUCCUGUGGAACCUGCACUACAUCAGGGGGUUUUACCAACCUCUGUACUGUUGAGUGUGGAAACAAACUGGAAAAGAUAACAGACCAAUCGUGAUCGAAGUUCAAAAAUGCUCUGGAAUGCGUGCAGGCUUCAGAUAAGGACAUGAAACUUUCACAUGCUUAUCAAACCUUCAGCUUUGCAUCCUCAGACAGAAAAGAGGAAAACCCAAAGCACAACGUGCACGAGUGCUGCAGAUCUUAAAGGUUUGGCUUGCAUGCAGCUGUGAAAUGGGGCAGUGCUGGGGAAUUUGGCACACUAAGACAGUUCAUCCCAGAAAGGCACACUUCUAUUUCUAAGAAAUAGUUUUGGCCUCCAUUCAAUUACCAGAAUGAUGUGAAAAUUAAUUUCCAAAUUGAAGUAAACAUCUAAAUUAAUAGAAUCCUACUUCAGCCUGCCUUGUGUACUCCCUUAGAAGUAAGACCACCUUGAGGAAACAGGUUUAAAAACAAAUCCCAAGCAAAACCGAGAGAAGAGGUGGGAUGAGGGAAGGUAUUUAUCACGUUGGAGCAGUGGACAUUUAUUUUUAGCAGCAGCUAUUCCAGUUUGAGAAGGAUUAUUAAACAUGAUUGAACGUUUAAUCCCUAGCUGCUAGGCUCCAGACAUGACUUUUAUUUGGAAAAAGAUCAUAUUUUCCAUCCCAGAGGAGAUUUCCUGUACACUCCAAAGACUUCUUCCAGCCUUUGGUGCCACACAUGGCUGUGACACACUCAGUCACGUUAAGAUCUCACCUCCCAUAUGGCAUUUCCUGUACUCCUGUCUAUGCUGAAGUGGUUUUGUUAGUUUUCUUGUUUUGAAGUGACAAAUGCAAGUAGUUCAUACAAAAUCUAUUUAGUGAAUUUAGACUUACAUUUUUAACUUAAUUUUUAUGAUCGCAUUUGUAAGAUAUCCUUCUGCCAGACACAGUUACAUGACUGUUCAAUUCCUCUGCUGGUGAGUUGCCUGAACGGUGCUCAAGUAAUCCUAUAAACUACAUGGGAUGAUUAGCAGAUGCCCUUGUAGAAUAAUUCCAUUUCUUUGUUUCCUUUUUAUUUUCUUCCUUCCAUUAUUCUGCCAUUGCUGUUAUAACACAGGAGAUCACUUUGUAGAAGACACACAAACACGCAGAAGAGCUCCAGAGACAACAGCUUCCUCCCUCACAUCACCUCUGACUGUCUGGCUCUGCUCAUCCAUCUCUCAGCUCCAGGAAACAACAGCCUGUUCUUACUCUCAAAAAUCGUUUUGGACUCCUUUCAACUUUAUGAAGAAGUCUAGUGAUUCUAGUGGCGUUAACAUCCCAUGUAUAUGUAUUUUCCAUGUACCUUUUUUCAUACAUAUAUAUCCAUCCAGAAAUUAGCAAAAACUGACACUGAAGAGAAAUGGUGUCGAUUACCCACACACCCCAACGGUCUAUCCCAACUGACACCUACAUCUGCUGGUUUAUCAUAACGGAAUGUGGCAGAAAGUGACACAACAGCUAUAAUUAUCACCUUACCAAACUGCUCAACCACUUCCUCCAAUUUGUUCACGAGUGCUAUAACACAGGGGCUAGGAGCCAGCUUCAGGUGUAUGCUUCGAAGAACUGCAUACAGAAAUGAAUUGAGUUGGUGGUUUGUGAUUUAUUUGUUAAACAGAAGAUCACCAUAAAACCUUAAAAUAUGCAUCCAAGUACGAGAGAUUAACUGAAACACUGAAAAUGUCAUUAUUCAGUGUGGUGGCAUGGAUAGGAACAGAUACCCCCCAGGAGCACAACCAGGCUGCACUUCUCUCAGCAUCUCUGUGAUUACCCCUGGAAAUGACUGCUGAACUUGGGGACCUGAAUCCAUGGGGAAAUAAGGUACCAAAUUGGGACACCUUGGAGGAAAGAAAAAAACAAAACAAAAAAAAACACCUGUGAAAGAGGAGAUAAUGUAGUUGCAGUUUCUUUUCUCAGGAAGCUUAGUUUAUUCUAGAUGGUCAGAAAAAGAACAGAAUUGCAUCCAGCACAGAAGACACCUGUUCAAACAAAGAGCACCCAAACAGACUGCAUACCCCCAGCACUGACCUCAGCCUCCAACAUGACAUGGAAGUCAUGCCUUUAACUCAUGAUUAAAGCAAACAAGAAACCCACCAACAUGAGUCACCCGACAAAAGGUGAAAAGAUUCUGCCUUAAUCAUUCCGUAUAUUCUUUUUUCCCCCCCAGUAAUUACAAUUAUUUAAGCUUUCGUUACAAUUAAACCUCAGAACAGGACCAGAUAUUUAGCAGAACAGAUUUAAUUAUUAUUUCUGUGCAAAAUUAUCGAACUAUACUAACCACGAAUUGCAGGAGAUAUCUUCAUAGCCAUAUAAGAGAAGCUACAAUGAAUACUCAAACCUCAGAGUGGAUGGAAACUGUCACGCAGCCGCCCCACCUAGAUCCACUGGCUAAGUAUCCUGUAUGCUGCUCAGCAAAAACAACCAGCCCGAUGAGACAAUGUGUCUGGCAUGUUAUAUUUAAGACAUAAUCUUAUAAUUGUAACUGAACCUCUCUGGGAGUAUGUAACCUCAGACAUUAACUAUUAAAAAAAGUUGUCAAUACAGUUGCAAAGUCUUUUCCACCCUCUUCCACUCUUCCCACAUUGUGUGCUUAGCACAGCAAGCUGUCACCUGAACUACGCUGCUGAUGCAUGCUAUACAUGCAUGUGCAUCUGAUGAACUUCCAGCAGGUCACCUCCUAGGAGGGGCUUCAAUUUAGGCUGAAUGG